rnacentral:rRNA from 1 species
AUACGUAGGGGGCGAGCGUUGUCCGGAAUGAUUGGGCGUAAAGGGCGCGUAGGCGGCCCGGUAAGUCUGGAGUGAAAGUCCUGUUUUUAAGAUGGGAAUUGCUUUGGAUACUGUCGGGCUUGAGUGCAGGAGAGGUAAGUGGAAUUCCCAGUGUAGCGGUGAAAUGCGGAGAGAUUGGGAGGAACACCAGUGGCGAAGGCGACUUACUGGACUGUAACUGACGCUGAGGCGCGAAAGUGUGGGGAGCAAACAGGAUUAGAUACCCUGGUAGUCCACACUGUAAACGAUGAAUGCUAGGUGUAGGGGGUAUCGACCCCUUCUGUGCCGCAGUCAACACAAUAAGCAUUCCGCCUGGGGAGUACGGCCGCAAGGUUGAAACUCAAAUGAAUUGGCGGGG